GGGGACGACCUGGCUUCGACGUGGGUUACAAAACUUAAGGUGCAUGCCGAGUAUGUUGGUUCUUCUCGUAAAACAGACUGACAAAAUGAUAGUUGCAAACGAUAACAACUACGCCCUAGCAGCUUAAGCCUGCUAGCCUUUGACUGAAGCCGUGCUUAUGCGUUCAGAUUUCAGAGGUCGAUCUCAUAAGAUAAGCUUGACGUAUGCUUGGUACUGAUGGACUAAAACCUUAACAAGAUCGCUAUUUGUUUUCCCUGUUCAUCGGGUAGCUUAUAGUUAAAAUAAUAGAUGGAAUAAGCAUGUAGAGCUGAAAGCGGAGGAUUUGCGGACGCGGGUUCGAUUCCCGCCGUCUCCACCA
rnacentral:tmRNA from 1 species